CGUAGGGUGCGAGCGUUGUCCGGAAUUACUGGGCGUAAAGAGCUCGUAGGUGGUUUGUCGCGUUGUCCGUGAAAACUCACAGCUUAACUGUGGGCGUGCGGGCGAUACGGGCAGACUGGAGUACUGCAGGGGAGACUGGAAUUCCUGGUGUAGCGGUGGAAUGCGCAGAUAUCAGGAGGAACACCGGUGGCGAAGGCGGGUCUCUGGGCAGUAACUGACGCUGAGGAGCGAAAGCGUGGGGAGCGAACAGG
rnacentral:rRNA from 1 species